GACAAACAUCGUAUGUGAAGCCAUUUAUCAAUACAGUUUGACAAUCCACUGAAAUCAACGGGUGCAAAAAACUGGCAAUUAAAAUAAAUGUGAGUUUUCAAUUGAAGAAAAAACUUACAUGCAGAUAGAAUACGUUGCACAUCUAGUGGUGAUGCUAAUUUUUCCCAGUGAUGAGUAUUUUUCGGUGCGAUACCAAAUACAUUUUCAGCAAGAAAAAUUCCUCCUAUCCAUAGUGGAAUAGUUUUGUUCAUGGUAGUAAUGAAUAUUGAUCCUCCUGGCUGAAAAUAUACCAAAUAUAUAGAAUUUUUGUAUAUAAUACUCUUCGUACCUUCAGUGUUUGAACACAAUGUGUUAAAAACCCGGCUUUAUCGUCAAUAUGUUCCAACACUUCUGAGCAGACAACAGCAUCGUAGUGGUUUAAAUUGGUUUUCGCAUGUACCUCAAUUGGCUCAAUUUUUUCUUAUUACGUCUUCGCCCAAGUCAACACCCGUUACUUUUGCACUAAGGCGUGCUAAUGCCUCAGUUAAUAUACCGCCCCCACAACCUACUUCCAAUAUAGUCUUAUCCUGUAAGACUUUGGUUGUAUUUAUUAACUUUGGAUCUACGUUACCGCGCGCUGUGAUACCGUCUCGUAUAAAAGGCACUCUAAAUUCAAAAUUUAAGUUAAUGUUAAGAAUGUAAUUCAAUCAAAAAUACAAUUGGUUACCUAAGUUCGUUUAGUUUAUGCAAACUUUGCAUCGGUCCAUUUAAAUUCCACCAGUUUGCUGAUAAUUUGGCAUGAUGAUCAAUUUCUUUUUGUGUACUAGCGGUAUGUGUGUGCGUUCUCUGCGUUUGGCCAUUAGCUAUCGAAUUGUUAAUCUUAUUGGCAGCUAUUUGUGCAUAUCGGGGAUAAUGAGUACCAACCAAUAAAUGCCUGUAAAAAUUUAAUUAGUUUUUCGAA